GAUGAACGCUGGCGGCGUGCCUAAUACAUGCAAGUCGAGCGAACAGAUGAGGAGCUUGCUCCUCUGACGUUAGCGGCGGACGGGUGAGUAACACGUGGAUAACCUACCUAUAAGACUGGGAUAACUUCGGGAAACCGGAGCUAAUACCGGAUAAUAUAUUGAACCGCAUGGUUCAAUAGUGAGAGACGGUUUUGCUGUCACUUAUAGAUGGAUCCGCGCCGCAUUAGCUAGUUGGUAAGGUAACGGCUUACCAAGGCAACGAUGCGUAGCCGACCUGAGAGGGUGAUCAGCCACACUGGAACUGAGACACGGACCAAACUCCUACGGGAGGCAGCAGUAGGGAAUCUUCCGCAAUGGGCGAAAGCCUGACGGAGCAACGCCGCGUGAGUGAUGAAGGUCUUCGGAUCGUAAAACUCUGUUAUUAGGGAAGAACAAAUGUGUAAGUAACUAUGCACGUCUUGACGGUACCUAAUCAGAAAGCCACGGCUAACUACGUG
rnacentral:rRNA from 1 species